rnacentral:rRNA from 1 species
GCGCAGCAGGCGAGAAUAGUCUACAAUGGACGAAAGUCUGAUAGUGCGACGCCGUGUGUGCGAUUAAUUCCUUCGGGAUGUAAAGCACUUUUCUAUGAGAUAAAAGCUCUUUAGGUUAAUAGCUUAUUGAGACGGAUAUUAUUAUAGGAAUAAGCUCCGGCUAACUCCGUGCCAGCAGCCGCGGUAAUACGGAAGGAGCGAGCGUUGUCCGGAUUUACUAGGCGUAAAGGGCUAGUAGGCGACUAAUUAAGUUAUAUGUUAAAUCCCACGGCUCAACUGUGGUCCUGCAUGUAAUACUGGUUAGAUAGAGUACUGUAGAGGAAGGCAGAAUUCCUGGAGUAGCGGUGGAAUGCGCAGAUAUCAGGAAGAAUACCAAAAGCGAAGGCAGCCUUCUGGGCAGUUACUGACGCUGAAUAGCGAAGGUGUGGUAGCGAACAGGA